GCUCAGAUUGAACGCUGGCGGCAGGCCUAACACAUGCAAGUCGAGCGGUAGCACAGAGAGCUUGCUCUCGGGUGACGAGCGGCGGACGGGUGAGUAAUGUCUGGGAAACUGCCUGAUGGAGGGGGAUAACUACUGGAAACGGUAGCUAAUACCGCAUAACGUCGCAAGACCAAAGUGGGGGACCUUCGGGCCUCAUGCCAUCAGAUGUGCCCAGAUGGGAUUAGCUAGUAGGUGGGGUAACGGCUCACCUAGGCGACGAUCCCUAGCUGGUCUGAGAGGAUGACCAGCCACACUGGAACUGAGACACGGUCCAGACUCCUACGGGAGGCAGCAGUGGGGAAUAUUGCACAAUGGGCGCAAGCCUGAUGCAGCCAUGCCGCGUGUGUGAAGAAGGCCUUCGGGUUGUAAAGCACUUUCAGCGGGGAGGAAGGCGUUAAGGUUAAUAACCUUGGCGAUUGACGUUACCCGCAGAAGAAGCACCGGCUAACUCCGUGCCAGCAGCCGCGGUAAUACGGAGGGUGCAAGCGUUAAUCGGAAUUACUGGGCGUAAAGCGCACGCAGGCGGUCUGUCAAGUCGGAUGUGAAAUCCCCGGGCUCAACCUGGGAACUGCAUUCGAAACUGGCAGGCUAGAGUCUUGUAGAGGGGGGUAGAAUUCCAGGUGUAGCGGUGAAAUGCGUAGAGAUCUGGAGGAAUACCGGUGGCGAAGGCGGCCCCCUGGACAAAGACUGACGCUCAGGUGCGAAAGCGUGGGGAGCAAACAGGAUUAGAUACCCUGGUAGUCCACGCCGUAAACGAUGUCGAUUUGGAGGUUGUGCCCUUGAGGCGUGGCUUCCGGAGCUAACGCGUUAAAUCGACCGCCUGGGGAGUACGGCCGCAAGGUUAAAACUCAAAUGAAUUGACGGGGGCCCGCACAAGCGGUGGAGCAUGUGGUUUAAUUCGAUGCAACGCGAAGAACCUUACCUGGUCUUGACAUCCACAGAACUUUCCAGAGAUGGAUUGGUGCCUUCGGGAACUGUGAGACAGGUGCUGCAUGGCUGUCGUCAGCUCGUGUUGUGAAAUGUUGGGCUAAGUCCCGCAACGAGCGCAACCCUUAUCCUUUGUUGCCAGCGGUUCGGCCGGGAACUCAAAGGAGACUGCCAGUGAUAAACUGGAGGAAGGUGGGGAUGACGUCAAGUCAUCAUGGCCCUUACGACCAGGGCUACACACGUGCUACAAUGGCAUAUACAAAGAGAAGCGACCUCGCGAGAGCAAGCGGACCUCAUAAAGUAUGUCGUAGUCCGGAUUGGAGUCUGCAACUCGACUCCAUGAAGUCGGAAUCGCUAGUAAUCGUAGAUCAGAAUGCUACGGUGAAUACGUUCCCGGGCCUUGUACACACCGCCCGUCACACCAUGGGAGUGGGUUGCAAAAGAAGUAGGUAGCUUAACCUUCGGGAGGGCGCUUACCACUUUGUGAUUCAUGACUGGGGUGAAGUCGUAACAAGGU
rnacentral:rRNA from 1 species